UACGGGGGGGGCAAGCGUUGUCCGGAAUUAUUGGGCGUAAAGCGCGCGCAGGCGGUCCUUUAAGUCUGAUGUGAAAGCCCUCGGCUCAACCGAGGAGGGUCAUUGGAAACUGGAGGACUUGAGUGCAGAAGAGGAAAGUGGAAUUCCAAGUGUAGCGGUGAAAUGCGUAGAGAUUUGGAGGAACACCAGUGGCGAAGGCGACUUUCUGGUCUGUAACUGACGCUGAGGCGCGAAAGCGUGGGGAGCAAACAGG
rnacentral:rRNA from 1 species